UGGGGAAUAUUGCACAAUGGAGGGAACUCUGAUGCAGCGACGCCGCGUGAACGAAGAAGGCUUUCGAGUCGUAAAGUUCCUUUAUAUGGGAAGAUAAUGACGGUACCAUAAGAAAAAGCCCCGGCUAACUUCGUGCCAUCAGCCGCGGUAAUACGAAGGGGGCUAGCGUUGUUCGGAUUUACUGGGCGUAAAGCGCACGUAGGCGGACUUUUAAGUCAGGGGUGAAAUCCCGGGGCUCAACCCCGGAACUGCCUUUGAUACUGGAAGUCUUGAGUAUGGUAGAGGUGAGUGGAAUUCCGAGUGUAGAGGUGAAAUUCGUAGAUAUUCGGAGGAACACCAGUGGCGAAGGCGGCUCACUGGACCAUUACUGACGCUGAGGUGCGAAAGCGUGGGGAGCAAACAGG
rnacentral:rRNA from 1 species